AAAUUAUCGCAAGUAGUAAGCAUGAUUCUUGGUUUUUUUCUUUUUUCUUUUUUCUUUUUCUCAAGUGGGUAUUUUUACCAAAAUUCCUACCUACACUCCACAAAUGGGAGAUGAGUGUAAAACCUUGUCUAAAAUAAUAAAAAAUGGACUGCUUGUUUGAUGUCGAGCCCUAUUUAACUUCAAAGCUCUUGGAUAUUCAAGCAUCACUUUGCAGAUAGACCACACCAUUUCACCUUUUAACUUGCUUGCAAGAGAAAUAUUACAAAGUUUAUUAAAGUAUUUGAAAAAUACAUCAAACAAAAAUUACAUCACACUAACUUGACACUGUAAUUGAACAAAAGAAGGAAAAUGAAACUUGACACCGUAAUUGAACAAAAGAAAGAAUAAAAAUGAAACUUGACCAUGAAGAUUGAAAUGAAAGUACUAUAUCGACACACUGUU
rnacentral:lncRNA from 1 species